GGUUAAGUUAGAAAGGGCGCACGGUGGAUGCCUUGGCACUAGGAGCCGAUGAAGGACGGGACGAACACCGAUAUGCUUCGGGGAGCUGUAAGCAAGCUUUGAUCCGGAGAUUUCCGAAUGGGGAAACCCACCACUCGUAAUGGAGUGGUAUCCAUAUCUGAAUUCAUAGGAUAUGAGAAGGCAGACCCGGGGAACUGAAACAUCUAAGUACCCGGAGGAAGAGAAAGCAAAUGCGAUUCCCUGAGUAGCGGCGAGCGAAACGGGAUUAGCCCAAACCAAGAGGCUUGCCUCUUGGGGUUGUAGGACACUCUAUACGGAGUUACAAAGGAACGAGGUAGAUGAAGAGGUCUGGAAAGGCCCGCCAUAGGAGGUAACAGCCCUGUAGUCAAAACUUCGUUCUCUCCUGAGUGGAUCCUGAGUACGGCGGAACACGUGAAAUUCCGUCGGAAUCCGGGAGGACCAUCUCCCAAGGCUAAAUACUCCCUAGUGACCGAUAGUGAACCAGUACCGUGAGGGAAAGGUGAAAAGCACCCCGGAAGGGGAGUGAAAGAGAUCCUGAAACCGUGUGCCUACAAGUAGUCAGAGCCCGUUAACGGGUGAUGGCGUGCCUUUUGUAGAAUGAACCGGCGAGUUACGAUCCCGUGCAAGGUUAAGCAGAAGAUGCGGAGCCGCAGCGAAAGCGAGUCUGAAUAGGGCGCAUGAGUACGUGGUCGUAGACCCGAAACCAGGUGAUCUACCCAUGUCCAGGGUGAAGUUCAGGUAACACUGAAUGGAGGCCCGAACCCACGCACGUUGAAAAGUGCGGGGAUGAGGUGUGGGUAGGGGUGAAAUGCCAAUCGAACCUGGAGAUAGCUGGUUCUCUCCGAAAUAGCUUUAGGGCUAGCCUCAAGGUAAGAGUCUUGGAGGUAGAGCACUGAUUGGACUAGGGGCCCCUACCGGGUUACCGAAUUCAGUCAAACUCCGAAUGCCAAUGACUUAUCCUUGGGAGUCAGACUGCGAGUGAUAAGAUCCGUAGUCGAAAGGGAAACAGCCCAGACCGCCAGCUAAGGUCCCAAAGUAUACGUUAAGUGGAAAAGGAUGUGGAGUUGCUUAGACAACCAGGAUGUUGGCUUAGAAGCAGCCACCAUUUAAAGAGUGCGUAAUAGCUCACUGGUCGAGUGACUCUGCGCCGAAAAUGUACCGGGGCUAAACGUAUCACCGAAGCUGCGGACUGUUCUUCGAACAGUGGUAGGAGAGCGUUCUAAGGGCUGUGAAGCCAGACCGGAAGGACUGGUGGAGCGCUUAGAAGUGAGAAUGCCGGUAUGAGUAGCGAAAGAGGGGUGAGAAUCCCCUCCACCGAAUGCCUAAGGUUUCCUGAGGAAGGCUCGUCCGCUCAGGGUUAGUCGGGACCUAAGCCGAGGCCGAAAGGCGUAGGCGAUGGACAACAGGUUGAUAUUCCUGUACCACCUCCUCACCAUUUGAG
rnacentral:rRNA from 1 species